GAGUAACACGUAUCCAACCUGCCGAUGACUCGGGGAUAGCCUUUCGAAAGAAAGAUUAAUACCCGAUGGCAUAGUUCUUCCGCAUGGUAGGACUAUUAAAGAAUUUCGGUCAUCGAUGGGGAUGCGUUCCAUUAGCUUGUUGGCGGGGUAACGGCCCACCAAGGCAUCGAUGGAUAGGGGUUCUGAGAGGAAGGUCCCCCACAUUGGAACUGAGACACGGUCCAAACUCCUACGGGAGGCAGCAGUGAGGAAUAUUGGUCAAUGGGCGCUAGCCUGAACCAGCCAAGUAGCGUGAAGGAUGACUGCCCUAUGGGUUGUAAACUUCUUUUAUAUGGGAAUAAAGUGCAGUAUGUAUACUGCUUUGCAUGUACCUUAUGAAUAAGGAUCGGCUAACUCCGUGCCAGCAGCCGCGGUAAUACGGAGGAUCCGAGCGUUAUCCGGAUUUAUUGGGUUUAAAGGGAGCGUAGGCGGGUUGUUAAGUCAGUUGUGAAAGUUUGCGGCUCAACCGUAAAAUUGCAGUUGAUACUGGCAUCCUUGAGUACAGUAGAGGUAGGCGGAAUUCGUGGUGUAGCGGUGAAAUGCUUAGAUAUCACGAAGAACUCCGAUUGCGAAGGCAGCCUGCUGGACUGUAACUGACGCUGAUGCUCGAAAGUGUGGGUAUCAAACAGGAUUAGAUACCCUGGUAGU
rnacentral:rRNA from 1 species